rnacentral:lncRNA from 1 species
ACAACCGGGAACUCAAUGCUGAAGCCUCCCCCUUUUAUCUGCCAGAACCGAAGUCAGCAAAGAAAACUAAAUAAAAGGAGAGAGCCUGUCUGGCAGGGGAAGCAGCAGGCAGCAGGCCAUGCCCUCGCCCAGCCAGAAUUACACAGAAUGAUCUGGAAGACACCCUCUGCUUGUGUUGAGUCCCUUUCCCAGCAAGGAAACAAGUCCUUGCAAGCAUCACAUUUCAACAUGGUGGGACUCUGUGGUGUCAGCCUCUUUAAAGACACACGGUCCAGAUCACAGCGGGGGGCGCGCUGACCCUGGAGAGACCCAGCGCAAAGGGUGAGGAGUGAGAGAAAACCUCUCUUUCUGUGUUUUGCUUUCUGAGCCUGGCUUUGCCUGUUAGCUAGUGAUAGCUCCCUGGAGGAUUUGAACUCCAAACACAGGGGUUAGCCUCUCUGGUCAUUUUCAUUUCAAUGAAGCUGUGUUGCCGAGAGAGCCGGGCACCCUGUGACCUUCCUAAUGGAACUUCUCAGCCAAGUCCUCUGUAAAUACUCUCCCGUAGUAAUGGAAACCACGUAUUUGUCGAAUCUGGGCCUUGGCUCGCACGCUGUUCAUUUGAGUGUGCUUCUCCUGCCCCGGGUUUGAUGGGGUUGUUUUUUAAAUGCCUGUUUUUUCUAUGAGAUCUGACUUCUUGAUGGACAUUUGUAUUAGAAUAUUGAAGCAUGCUGGCUGUGUCACUGUUGUCUCACUGUCUCUGCCGUGGUGUUACUUGGACUGCAUGAGAUAAUGGGACAGCCUUUCUGUUAUUGGUGUUAUUGAAAAAAAAAAAAAAAAAAAAAACCCAACCCAACUUCCACAGUGUGUGAAGCUCUGGCACAAUCUCCCUCUCUUUAUCCUGCUCUCCCUGGCUGCCAAGGAGCAUUGAUUUUGAUUCGCUUCUAUGUAGAGUCUGUGAAGAGGGAGAGAGGCUUUGAAAUAAAUUUUAAAAAGACCUCAUACUGGGUUUCAGCAGACAGCAGUGGGUAUGUGUGUGUGUGUUCGUGCAUGUGAGUGUGUGUGCAUCCAUCCGACUGGGAGGCCUCUGAGAUCAUUGCUAAGGA